rnacentral:rRNA from 1 species
AACGAACGCUGGCGGCAUGCCUAACACAUGCAAGUCGAACGAGACCUUCGGGUCUAGUGGCGCACGGGUGCGUAACGCGUGGGAACCUGCCCUUAGGUUCGGAAUAACUCCCCGAAAGGGGUGCUAAUACCGGAUAAUGUCUUCGGACCAAAGAUUUAUUGCCUUUGGAUGGGCCCGCGUUGGAUUAGCUAGUUGGUAGGGUAAAAGCCUACCAAGGCGACGAUCCAUAGCUGGUCUGAGAGGAUGAUCAGCCACACUGGGACUGAGACACGGCCCAGACUCCUACGGGAGGCAGCAGUGGGGAAUAUUGGACAAUGGGCGAAAGCCUGAUCCAGCAAUGCCGCGUGAGUGAUGAAGGCCUUAGGGUUGUAAAGCUCUUUUACCCGGGAUGAUAAUGACAGUACCGGGAGAAUAAGCUCCGGCUAACUCCGU